AUUGAACGCUGGCGGCAUGCCUUACACAUGCAAGUCGAACGGCAGCACGGGAGCAAUCCUGGUGGCGAGUGGCGAACGGGUGAGUAAAGUAUCGGAACGUGCCCAGUCGUGGGGGAUAACGUAGCGAAAGUUACGCUAAUACCGCAUACGAUCUAUGGAUGAAAGCGGGGGAUCGCAAGACCUCGAGAGAUUGGAGCGGCCGAUAUGAGAUUAGGUAGUUGGUGGGGGAAAGGCGCACCAAGCCGACGAUCUGUAGCUGGUCUGAGAGGACGAACAGCCACACGGGGACUGGAACACGGCCCAGACCCGUACGGGAGGCAGCAGUGGGGAAUUUUGGACAAUGGACGAAAGCCUGAUCCAGCCAUGCCGCGUGCAGUAUGAAGGCCUUCGGGUUGUAAACUGCUUUUGUACGGAACGAAAAGGUUUGGGCUAGUAAGCUGAGCUCAUGACGGUACCGUAAGAAUAAGCACCGGCUAACUACGUGCCAGCAGCCGCGGUAA
rnacentral:rRNA from 1 species